GCGUCCAUAGCUCAGCUGGAUAGAGCAACGCCCUUCUAAGGCGUAGGCCAGAGGUUCGAAUCCUCUUGGGCGUA
rnacentral:tRNA from 1 species